CUCCUACGGGAGGCAGCAGUAGGGAAUCUUCGGCAAUGGACGAAAGUCUGACCGCAGCACGCCGCGUGAGUGAAGAAGGCUUUCGGAUCUGUAAAACUCUGUUGUUAGAGAAGAACAAGUGAGAGAGUAACUGUUCUCACCUUGACGGUAUCUAACCAGAAAGCCACGGCUAACUACGUGCCAGCAGCCGCGGUAAUAC
rnacentral:rRNA from 1 species